GUCUCGGUCCUUACUCCUUACUCCUUACUUUUAUACCAAAAUAAAAAUACAGUUGAUAAAAAUCCAAACAAACGAUAAGUUCUUUCAUUUUGUAUUGUUUAUUUGAAAUAUUUAAAUCGUGUUCAAUGUGUUUGUGUUAACCCGAUAAUAAACUAAACUAAGUUGUCCAAAUGAGUAGAGAAGAUAAACACGACGAACUUUUUUUGAAUGUUUUAAAAGAAGAAGGACAGAUUUUACCAUUUUUAAAUUCCGUGUUUGGCUUUUUAUACAGGAGAACUGACUUUUAUCUUGUCAAAGACAACCAAGAUGGCAAGAUUGGAUUCCUCCCUGGAGUCGCAGAAUUGGCUGUCAGAGACACAUUCAGGAAGUGGCAGAAAAUAGCAGCAGCUACUAACGGAAAUGUAUCAUGUAUGGAAAACAGUUUAGCCAACGUAGUGAUCCAUGAGGAAGAAGUAGUUACCACCGACUAUGAGACCGAGCCAAUUGAGGCAGUGCAGCCAACCGAACAGGAAAUAUCAAGAAACCUGCAAGUUUGUGAUGAUGACAUCAGCAGUGACACAUACAAUGGCGCAGACCGUGGGAGCUACAGAUGGUCUCAGACUCUUACAGAAGUAGAUAUAAAAGUGCCUGUCCCAAAUUGGCUAACCAGCAGUAAAGGUGUCACGGUGGAAGUGGGUUCUACACGGGUGACUGUAUCUUGUAGGGACCACGAAGGACGUAUGAACACUCUGGUGGAGGGAGAGCUCAACUACAAACACCUACGUGAGGAGUCCAUCUGGACACUGACCCCGGGGAAACAUGUUACCAUUCAUCUUGAAAAGGCGAAUGAGCAAUGGUGGGACAGUAUUUUUAAAACUGAAGAUAAAUUGGACACAACUAAAUUUGAUACAACCAGACAUAUUAAUGAGCUACAAGAGGAUGAUAAAAUGCAGGUUGAGAAGAUUUUAGUUAGAGAGGAAAACAAACGCCUUGGCAUUUUACCCCCAGAACACCAGGAGAAAAUUGAUAUUCUCAAGAAAGCGUGGAAUGCUCAAGGAUCUCCGUUUCAAGGCCAACCAUUUGACCCAUCAGUACUACAACUGCCGCAGUGAUAUUGUUUUUUUGGUGAGAGAUACCCACAUUAAAGAAAUGGUGUCCGGCUGGGGUGGAAGUUGACGGCAUUAUUGAGUUUAAUAGGGAUUGCACACACCAGAUGACACAAUUUCGAUAUAACUAAUUGGACAGAGCAGUAAGGUACAGAGGAACACACUUAUGGGAUGACCGUUCGCUUUCAGCUAUGGUAUGUUGUGCCAGAAAUAUACUUGUGACGAGCAAGGAAGAUUCUGUGUGGCAAGCACUUUGCGGAAAUUCCUAUUGCACAGGGCACAGGGGCUUCAUCCACCGUUAGCGUUGUAGUACAUGAUGGCAAAGGGGUGGUGUGAUCCUAGACACCAGAGACCAAUACUAGACACCCUUAAUUGUACCAAUGAAUGUCUCCUCUAUAGUUUAAUUCUCUGUGCAAAUAAUUGUUAUAAUUAGUUUUUAAAAGUAUUACUAUUCAAAGUUCUUUUAUUAUUAUUCUUAAGUUCCACGGUAAUCAUUAGAAAUUGUCCAUACAUACCAAUUGUUAAAAGAAAAUAAAUAGUUUGUAAACAAGCAUCACAGAAAAGCUACUUUCUAAGUUUCCCUUGAUGUAGAGGAUGCUGUGUUUUAAAAAAAGUCAGAAAAUCACCAAGUCCUUAUUGCUGUAACGAAGUAUUUCUGUUUGUGUUUUAACCUGUUAUUUCAGCUAAAAUACGCUUACUUUGCUAGUUGAAGAA